rnacentral:lncRNA from 1 species
UGCAUUUAGAGGCAGUCUCAAUCAAAACCUCUAGGAAAGGAGUAUCCCUAUCCCAACUAGCCGCAGUAUACAGACCUUCCAUGAUUGCUCAUUGUGCUUUCAUUAGAAGAAUUAUUGCUAAAGUCCAUUGAUUGCCAGACCAACCCGAACCGAGCAGUUCGGCCUAAACCAAACCAAAUCGAUGCCAAGUCGUACCGGUUCAUCCAUAUCACUCGAUUCACGUAUAAUCUUUCCCCUCACCGCCGCAAUGCAACGAUUUGAGAGCCUUCGAGGCUCUCUCCUUCACUCUCACUCUCUCUUUCUCCACUAGAAGAUCCUCCCCUCUUCGACCGACUCCCUCACCGAUAAGUCUCUCUCUCACACAUACACCCUCUCUCUAUCGGACAACGCAAACCGCCGAGUUCAAGGUAACCCUCUUCGACGUGAAACGCUCACUAGUAACCCACUUUGAUGUGAAACCCUUAUCAGUAAGCCUUUGAGACUCUCUCCUUAUCUCUCUCUCUCUCUCCACCGAAUGAUCCCUUCUUUUCAAUGUGAAGCCCUCACUAGUAAGCCUCCCCACUCUCCUCUCUCUCACCACCGAACGAUCCCCCCUUUUCAACGUGAAACCCU